rnacentral:tRNA from 1 species
GUCCUUGUACCUCAGCAGGAUAGAGGGUCCGCCUCCUAAGCGGAAUGCCGGCGGUUCGAAUCCGCCCAAGGACG